rnacentral:rRNA from 1 species
UACGAGGGGGGCGAGCGUUGUUCGGAAUUAUUGGGCGUAAAGGGUGCGUAGGCGGUUUGGUAGGUCUGAUGUGAAAUCUAUGGGCUCAACUCAUAGUCUGCAUCGGAAACUGCCGGGCUUGAGUGUGGGAGAGGUGAGUGGAAUUCCUGGUGUAGCGGUGAAAUGCGUAGAUAUCAGGAGGAACACCUGUGGCGAAAGCGGCUCACUGGACCAUAACUGACGCUGAUGCACGAAAGCUAGGGGAGCAAACAGG